rnacentral:piRNA from 1 species
UGAGACAGGGUUUCUCUGUGUUGCCUUGAC